ensembl:lncRNA
CGGAGCCCCCGGCACCCUGCGGCCGGGCGUCACCCACGCGUGGGGCGGGGGCGGCGGGACUCGGCCGGCAACAGCCGUCGAGGAAAUCGGGACCGAGGAGCGGCGGGGCGGCCGAGAUGAUAGCACAAAUCUCUAUCGGUGGAGCCUACAGCUGCAGACAAACCUUGAAGAAGGUCUCCUACAGCAGCAUGAAAGGCUGCUGACCAGAGGCCAUUAGAACAUGACUGGGAAGAGGAAGACUUGGCUGUGACUGGCUGGUACCUUCACAGAAGGCCCUCGAACAACUGUUUAUUUCCAGAGUCUUCCCGGAUUUUUGUGAAAAUCUGCAUACCACAGACUUCUAGAAUGCAAGCAGAAGAUAAUCCUUCUUCAGAAUUAGUCAUAACGACUGUGAAGAGAUAUGAAUUUUUACACUGCUCUUGCCCCUGUUGUGAGUUUCUGGUGGAUAAGCUGAUAGCUUCAGUUUUCAAAGAUGUCAGGUGGAUAUGACAGCCUGAAGUGCCCAGAUUUCAGACAGCCUAUUCCUUGUUAGCCCCCUGACCCACAGGAGUGGACAGCAGUCAAGGAAGCUUCAGAAGUGUACUGCUCAUGUGCUGCUGACACAGCAUAGGUGAAUUUGUGAGAAGGG